GUCUGUGGUUGUUCUCUGGAGAGUGGAGACACAGAGCAGCAAUGCUGUAAGCAACUUUAAGACAGGUAUGAUCAUAAAUCAUCAGAUCAUACCUAGAACUACUUAUCUGGAACUCCCAAAUGUAUAAUCAACAUUCCCAUUGAUGGAGGUGCUGGCAGUUGCCUUAUGGGUUGAUUAGACUUCAGUGGAUAAAGAUUACUGUGCCAAAGACAAGCCCUGGGGGACAUCUUCAAUCUUGGGAUAAGAGAGAGCUCCAGUUAACUGCAGUUUGAAUAAGAAAGAUACGGUUAAAAGCCUUCCAGUUCUGAGAGAUGUGGAGCUACAACGGGCUCAGGAGACUUGAAGGAAGGAGUUGUGUGUCCUUUAAUGGCAAAUGAGGAGGAAUUCACAUUUCUCACACAGUGGUUUUCUUUUCUUUGACCAACAAGAGUUACUUCUAGAUAUUCUAGGCAUCACCUGGUAGAAUAGCGCAGCAAAGUGGCUGUUAUUAGGGAAAGGGAAAAGAAAUUUGAGACGCUCCAUUUAAGCUUGGCAAAAUGAAACUACCACCUUCAUAAAAGGGACUUUGAAGAUCACGCUAUGUUGCAGUGGAAUUGGAGGACAUAAGGUGUUUCUGUUUCAAAUUUUUGACUGGGAAAAAUAUUCUGCAAGGCUGGGAGAAGAGGGCAACAGCACAUCCAUUUACUUUGGCAGUAGUUUUGUUGGAGUGUGACCUGUAACCAGCACUCUGAGCAAAAAUGUCAACUCAAGAUUAACAUAGGAACUGGCAGCAGUGAAGUCAGAAAGCCAGCUCAAGGGACUGGCAUGUACGAACUUGUAGUCUGACAGUUAAAUUAAGAAGCUGUUUUAGAAGCCUUUCGCAGAGGAUGACUCAUUUUGUAAAAUCAUCUGAGGGCAAACAUGGGGAUGAAAGUAGACUAAAAUAGCAACUGGUGCUAAUGUAGGAAAUAUAACUCUAGAGGACUUUGAAAUGGGAAAUGUUUCUGAGAAGUGGUCCAUGUGGAAGAAGUAGAUCAUUUUGGUUCUUGCAGGACAAGAAGCAGACAAAUUGUCAAAGACCCAAAAGGCUGCACAUUUACAACCAUGAACUGGACAGAAAGGAAACAAGAUCAGCAGUACACAGGAAUCCAACAGAUAGAUCACCUCAGCUGACUGAAAAACCCUGGACAAGUUAUUUUGUUCAGGAGUAUUUUAAUCUAUGCCAAAAUAUAUUUUUUUCAAAAGUUGUUUUGAUUUUUUUUUUUAAAUGUAGUAAAGUCAAUAGACAAAUUACCUCAGCUGCAAUACAAAAUAAAAUACUGCAUUUGCAUAUGAA